AGAGUUUGAUCCUGGCUCAGAAUCAACGCUGGCGGCGUGCCUCAGACAUGCAAGUCGAACGCGAAAGUUUCCUUCGGGAGGCGAGUAGAGUGGCGCACGGGUGAGUAACACGUAGGUAAUCUACCUUUGAGUGGGGAAUAACAAUCGGAAACGAUUGCUAAUACCGCAUAAUGCAGCGGCACCUAAUGGUGACAGUUGUUAAAGGAGCAAUCCGCUUAAAGAGGAGCCUGCGGCAGAUUAGCUAGUUGGUAAGGUAAUGGCUUACCAAGGCUACGAUCUGUAACCGACCUGAGAGGGUGGUCGGUCACACUGACACUGAAUAACGGGUCAGACUCCUACGGGAGGCAGCAGUCGGGAAUUUUGGGCAAUGGGCGAAAGCCUGACCCAGCAACGCCGCGUGAAG
rnacentral:rRNA from 1 species